AUGAACGCUAGCGACAGGCUUAACACAUGCAAGUCGAGGGGCAGCGGAGGUAAAGGCUUGCCUUUACCUGCCGGCGACCGGCGCACGGGUGAGUAACACGUAUGCAACCUGGCCGUCACAGGAGGAUAACCGGGAGAAAUUCCGCCUAAUACUCCAUAACACUUUCCGGGGACAUCCUGGGAAAGUCAAAGGAAUUCGUUCCGGUGACGGAUGGGCAUGCGGCGCAUUAGCUAGUCGGCGGGGUAACGGCCCACCGAGGCGACGAUGCGUAGGGGUUCUGAGAGGAAGGUCCCCCACAUUGGAACUGAGACACGGUCCAAACUCCUACGGGAGGCAGCAGUGAGGAAUAUUGGUCAAUGGGCGGAAGCCUGAACCAGCCAAGUCGCGUGAGGGAAUAAGGCCCUAAGGGUCGUAAACCUCUUUUGCCGGGGAGCAAUGGUUCGCUUGCGAGCGGACAGGGAGAGUACCCGGAGAAAAAGCAUCGGCUAACUCCGUGCCAGCAGCCGCGGUAAUACGGAGGAUGCGAGCGUUAUCCGGAUUUAUUGGGUUUAAAGGGUGCGUAGGCGGACCAUCAAGUCAGCGGUCAAAAGUCGGGGCUCAACCCCGUAAAGCCGUUGAAACUGGUGGUCUUGAGUGAGCGAGAAGCAGGCGGAAUGCGUGGUGUAGCGGUGAAAUGCAUAGAUAUCACGCAGAACCCCGAUUGCGAAGGCAGCCUGCCGGCGCUCAACUGACGCUGAGGCACGAAAGUGCGGGGAUCGAACAGGAUUAGAUACCCUGGUAGUCCACACAGUAAACGAUGAAUACUCGCUGUUUGCGAUAUACAGUAAGCGGCCAAGCGAAAGCAUUAAGUAUUCCACCUGGGGAGUACGCCGGCAACGGUGAAACUCAAAGGAAUUGACGGGGGCCCGCACAAGCGGAGGAACAUGUGGUUUAAUUCGAUGAUACGCGAGGAACCUUACCCGGGCUCAAACGCCGCAGGAAUCACAUCUGAAAGGAAGUGAGCCAGCAAUGGUCUGCGGCGAGGUGCUGCAUGGUUGUCGUCAGCUCGUGCCGUGAGGUGUCGGCUUAAGUGCCAUAACGAGCGCAACCCUUAUCUUCAGUUACUAACAGGUCAUGCUGAGGACUCUGGAGAGACUGCCGUCGUAAGAUGUGAGGAAGGUGGGGAUGACGUCAAAUCAUCAUGCCCUUUAUGACCUGGGCUACACACGUACUACAAUGGCGUUUAACAAAGAGAAGCAAGACCGCGAGGUGGAGCAAAACUCAAAAACAACGUCUCAGUUCAGAUUGCAGGCUGCAACUCGCCUGCAUGAAGCCGGAAUCGCUAGUAAUCGCGGAUCAGCAUGCCGCGGUGAAUACGUUCCCGGGCCUUGUACACACCGCCCGUCAAGCCAUGGGAGCCGGGGGUGCCUGAAGGCCGUGACCGCAAGGAGCGGCCUAGGGUAAAACCGGUGACUGGGGCU
rnacentral:rRNA from 1 species